GCCAGCGUAGCUCAACGGUAGAGCACCGCUUUUGUAAAGCGGUGGUUGUGGGUUCGAUUCCCACCGCUGGCU
rnacentral:tRNA from 1 species